CUUGGUCAUUUAGAGGAAGUAAAAGUCGUAACAAGGUCUCCGUUGGUGAACCAGCGGAGGGAUCAUUACAGAGUUUACAACUCCCAAACCCCUGUGAACUUACCAUGUCGUUGCCUCGGCGGUGUCCUGCUAACCCAGGCCCGCCAGAGGACCCAACAAACUCUUGUUUUUUUAGUAUUAUCUGAGUGACAAGUUUAAUAAAUCAAAACUUUCAACAACGGAUCACUUGGUUCUGGCAUCGAUGAAGAACGCAGCGAAAUGCGAUAAGUAAUGUGAAUUGCAGAAUUCAGUGAAUCAUCGAAUCUUUGAACGCACAUUGCGCCCGCCAGUAUUCUGGCGGGCAUGCCUGUUCGAGCGUCAUUUCAACCCUCAAGCCCCCGGGCUUGGUGUUGGGGAUCGGCGAGCGCCCUUCUGGGCAGCGCCGUCCCUCAAAUACAGUGGCGGUCUCGCUGUAGCUUCCUAUGCGUAGUAGCACACCUCGCACUGGAAAGCAGCGCGGCCACGCCGUUAAACCCCCCACUUCUGAAGGUUGACCUCGAAUCAGGUAGGAUUACCCGCUGAACUUAAGCAU
rnacentral:rRNA from 1 species